GGAGGCAGGGAGUGAAACUGCCUGAGGAACAGAGAGGAGAGGGGAGGAGAGGAGAGGAGAGGAGAAGAGAGCAGAGGAGAGAUCAGAUCUGUAGCUAGGUCACAUCUGGACAGGACCCAAGUCCAAGGUAAAUCGAGAACAAGUGAUGGAACUAAAGAAUGAAGGAGAAAUGGGUGGACAGGGCACAAAUUGGGGAAUGACAGCCUAUUCAGUGAGGAUAGGAAAUGCACAUAAAGGACAGAUGAAGAUGAUUUCUCUGUGUGUGAUUAGAAGGAUAGCAAUUACAAAGAUAAGAGUGAAAGGAGAGGGAGGAAAGGGGAAAAGGGAAUAAGUAAGAAGACAAAAUAAGCAAUGAGUGUCUAAGUACCGAUCUGAAUGCUUAGAAAAUCACCAGGCUGUUAGGCUGAGCCAAAAGAAGAGCCACAGCCGUACCCAAGAGGGGACCAUCGGAAAGACAGAAGCAGGCAAUUUAAGUAGCUAGCUACUGGGGUAAAAUGAAAAAAAAGAAAAAAUAGAAGAUGGAAAAGGUGAGAAGCAAAAGAGGGAAAACCCAAAGGAGACACUGGCCCAGAAACCUUUUUAACUUUCUGUAAGAAUCUUCAAGGCCCCAAACUAGGCCAAGAUUCUGACUGACAUUUCUGAGCUCACCAGCUGCCGUUUCCUUGAGAGAAUUCUGACAGGAAGGCAUAGAAAUGCGAACCAACACUGCCAGCUCUGGAAAAUAAAUAAAUAAGUAAAUAACUAUCCACAUCCUAAACACCUCAGUGGGGGCCGAAGCCUGCUGGGGAAGAAAGCCCAGCGAGGAGGAGGGACCCGCCUGCAACUUUUCCCCAGGUAUGUGCUGAGCUUUCCCCGCGUGCUGCUUUCUCCUCCAAUUGUCCUCUGGCCGUUCCUGCCUUGCCCAUCUGUCUUUCUUUCUUUGUGAAUUUUUGGGAAGCCCUGCAGGCGAUCUGCUUCUGCAGUAAGGGGACAGUCUGAGCAUCUCAUCACAUAUAUCCUUUCAUAAAACUCCUAAAAAUGAGACUGGCAUCCCAGACAUUCGGAACCUGUAAUGAUUCUUGUCAGAAAUGAUACUGAUUAAUACCUUUUUUUAACAAAUCUACUAAAAUUGUACGACGAAUAUUUUUGAUAAUAUUUUUGCUUUCUCAAGUAUCUUUGAAUCACCCCUUACAUAAAAACAAUUGUCAUGUUAAUGAAACCCUUUAAAGUAGAUCAAAUAUAAGGAUUUCCAUGUAGUAAGUAGAUUCCAUUGCCAGAUUAAUACUAAUUAAUAUAUCAAUUACACAUUAAUUAAUAAUAUAAUACAUAUAAUUAUUAAUAAGAUCAAUAUUAUGUUGAUUGUAUAUUAUUAAUAGAUAAUGUUAAUAAUAGUAAUAGAGAUUAUUUAUUAAACUUCAAAUAUUAUGCUCAUGGCACACUACAUAAAUCUAAUUCCUCCCGUUGAGGAAGCACUGUUAGUCUCACUUUACAGAUGAGGAAGCUGAGGCUGAAAGAGGUUAAAUAGCUUGCUCAAGUCACAGAUGUCCAAGCCAUGCUGUUUCUCCCUGCACCCCUCAUAGCCAAUAACCUUGAAGAUCACAUUUGUCUUACUCAGACUUCUCUCGGUCUCAACCUGUCCUUGAUUUUACCCAAAUCCAAUAGGCUUUCUAAGGACCAUUAAUGAGAAAUAAGCAUCCUUCUAUCUCUUUAAUGUGUUGAGUCAUUUAUGUUCAAAUACUGUCCUGCUCAGCAAAAGAAACUGAAAAAGAACUGUGAUUGCUGUUUAUGCUUUUGAGGCUACUUUUUUACUGUUACUUAAGUCUGGAACGCUUUUAAAUGGUACUUGCUUCUCAGGACAAGGGAAAGGACAUGUUAGUAAUUUAAGGGUUUUGAGCAGUUGUCUGAUCAUGAGGCAGGGCUGGGGUGUGGAGUAAAUCUUGUUUUCAAUAACCUGUUGAGUGACAUUUUAUAUUGCCAUUGGCCCAUUCUCCUAAGAAACUCAAGAUAUUCACAUGUGUUAUCUCAUUAAUCUUCAACCCAUUCUUUGGUGGGCAGCUGGGGUUACACAACUGCUAUUUACAGAUAAGUAGCAUGGGAUUUGGUAUAGGAAUGAAGACAGAAAGCUGGUAAUUUGGCUAAUAUCACCCAGCACACAAUUGGCCAAGUGACACACCACAUCUCCUAAUUCUUUCCAUUAACAGUGCCUACUAAAGUCAAAAGAUUUGGGUAGAUAGGAAACUAGAUAAAUAAUCUGGAAAAAAAACCCACAUCCAAUUGUCAUAUAGAUGCCCUUGCCCUAUGCAAAGCACAGAGAAACGUGUCUUUAUGUUCUCCAUCCCAGAUUUUUUUACCUACUAUUUUUGUCUUGUCUGAAAUAUGUUGGUUUUGCCGUAGUUUGUUUUUCCAGUCUACCUUUCUCUCCAUUUUCUAACCUGUUCCAUGACUUUUCUUUCUUGUGUCUUAAGCUAGAUGUCCAGGAAAAUGGGAAGAAGGUUUAAACAAGGCUUUCAUCAUAGAUAUUCCCAUUUCAAACUCUCUCUCUCGACUUUCAAAAUUCUCUAUUCAUUCUAAAGUGAUAAGAAUUUAGUUACCUGGACUCAUUAAUUGUCAAGUAAUUGGUUAUUAACAAUUUGUUUUUCUCCUGCAGAUUUUGCAGUGAACUUUUAAGUAAUCUUUUCACCCUACAAGGUUGGGCUUGGCAAAGACAAAACAAUUCACACCCAAAUGUUGGGGACAGUCUAAUGGGAUAGUUUACACUGUCUUGGCUAUCUCAAAUCUUUUCCCUGGAAAUCUUUUUCUUUUGUAUUCCUACAUAAAUGUAUGAAGCUCAGCCUGGCUCAUGAAUAGCAAGUCUCUUAAAGUUGGCUCUUUCUAGUUCUUUGAACAUAAAACUUGAUGGUUCCUCUCAUCGGUGCAAACCCUCACUCCUCACAACUCAAAUGCCAAACACUUUGGAGGAUCUCCAUCUGACAGAUGUAACUAGUUAAAAUGGACAUUUAUUCAGCUCUUAAGUUCCCUGGUUCUAUGAAAGAAAUGAGACAUUUUUAUUUUCUUAGAGGCACAGACACACCUCCUUCCUCCUUUGACCAAGCUGCCUCCCUGCCAUCAGCCCCUGAUAGUGUGUUUUUGGUUGCCCACUGCCCCCAAACUUAGAGAAGGAAGGGUAGCCCCAAACUCUCACUUCUAUGAAGUUCAUACUUGACUAUGGGAGAAAACAGUGUUUUCAGAGCAGAAGCUUACAUAGCCAUUGGAUGGAAUUGGAUGAGCCAUUGGAUGAUUCCCAAGGUCAGCCCGAAAGAUUUUGACUGGGAUGCUAGAGACAUUUUCCUAUUUUCCUAAGAAACAGUAUGGUUUCUAAGCCACCUCCAUCAACAACA
rnacentral:lncRNA from 1 species